rnacentral:RNase_P_RNA from 1 species
GCAGGCGGCCGGAUGAUCGCUGCCGAGCAGGUCGAAUGAUCUGCCGGGAGAGGAAAGUCCGAACUCCGAAGGGCAGUGUGCCGGAUAACGUCCGGGACGGAUGGUUCAAGCCAUCUGGACGGCCAGUGCAACAGAGAACAUACCGCCACGAUCGCAAGAUCGGGGUAAGGGUGAAAAGGUGCGGUAAGAGCGCACCGCGCGGCUGGUAACAGACGCGGCAAUGUAAACCCCACACGGAGCAAGACCAAAUAGGCAGGGACUUCGUCGCUUCUCUUCAGGCGGCGGAGGCGUAUCGGCCCGGUACGCUCAGGCGAAGAGGCCCGAAAGGGCUCCGAAACCUGCGGGUAGGUUGCUGGAGCGCCGCAGUAAUGCGUCGCCUAGAGGAAUGAUCAUCUAGAACAGAAUUCGGCUUACGAGCCGUCUGCAGAA